CACGUCUACCUUUUCCACUUUAAAGUGGGGGGGCUCUGGCUCGCUAUGCCCCACAUUGGAGCUCCCCUCCUGCUGCUCAGACUGAACCUCUUGGUGCUUUACUGACACCUGCUGGAGACCUUCAGAACAACAUAAAACGCAAUCAGGAUCUGCGUCCAGGACCGGCCCAAGGUCCAAACAUCGGUCCAAUCCCAAGCUCUUGGAACUUGCGACGACAGUGUAGAUGAGAGCCCCAGUGAUGGCCAUGCUGCUCAAAGAGAAGGGAAGAGCUAUGGAAAAAAACAAGGGAC